GAGACCUAAUGGCCUAGAGAUCAAGUUAGACAAUGCAACAAGCAAUUAUGAAAAUAGCAUUUGCUUCCUUUGCAGCUUUGUGUGUCACUGGAUACAGAAGAAGUGUACAAGGCAAUAUCUGGGUUGUGCCUCCAAAGGGAAUUGUGUACCCUCUCCUUUCCAAUUCCUUCUUGUUGGACAAGAUGGUAGACAUUGUGAGUUGGAAGACAUGCACUGAAGCCUGGACUCUUGACAACUUUGAGGAGAAAAGCUACAAUAUCAGCUUGGAGUUUUAUGGAAAAGAAAUCAAUUUUGAGCUGCCUAAUUUACUUUUAGCACUCUGUGUCACAACAUCUAAGUCUAUCUAAGAUGUCAGGAGUUCCUUGGCUUUUGGUAUAUUGUAGUGUUUACCUUACCUUCCUUAUAAAGAC
rnacentral:lncRNA from 1 species